AGCAGAGAGAAACUUUCAUAAUGCACUUCGUUGUUAUUGAUUUUUAGCUCAUGAAGUUUUUCUUCAAACAAUUUGUGUGAUGAUGGAGAUAUGUUGACUUUGUAAUAGAGAUUCUAAGAGUGAAUCUGUCAGCAAAUGGUCUUAAUUAACGUACUGAUAAGAGUUCUGUUGACAUAAUAAACACACAAGCGUCUGACACAGGCAUAAAACAUCAAAAGACACCAGUUAACAAUCUUCAGACAAGAGUAUUUCCAUCCAGAUAACAUGUCUUCAGAAGAGUAGAUAAAGUUGGAGCUCAAGAAAGUUCGGGACGAGUUUAAAAUAUCAGAGUCGGACUGUGGAUCUUCCCGUGUUCAAGUUUGCUCAACUGACAACAAAAAUCAAGCAUCUAUCAUCUGUUUUACAUAAAAAAGGAUAAGCAUUCUAGAAAGGGGCUGGUAGCAAUGGUGCAAAGGAGGGAGAAGAUUCUUAGAUAUCUCCGAAGAACAGACUGGGAUUCGUAUUGCCAAGUUCUCUCACAACUUGGGCUGAGGGACAACCCAAGUUCUACAAACACUAAGCCUCAAAUCUUUUUCUCUUUACUUCACCUUUUUAUGUGCUGACAAUUUUUCUUGAUUUUUUACUUGUGUUACAUUCUUUGGUUAUUUUUACGACUCACUGUUAUCUAAACAGUGAUAUAUUAUGUAACUGGGUCUAGAAAUGAGAUUUUUGUGGUUAUAACAAGCACCAUUCUUUAGUGGAAAUGCUCAGUCUUUAGUAAUGUGAAAUGUUUAGACUUAGUAGCACUGUAUCUAUAGCGGGAUCCUACAUCGACAGUUCUUAGA